UUAAGCGACUAAGCGUACACGGUGGAUGCCCUGGCAGUCAGAGGCGAUGAAGGACGUGCUAAUCUGCGAUAAGCGUCGGUAAGGUGAUAUGAACCGUUAUAACCGGCGAUUUCCGAAUGGGGAAACCCAGUGUGAUUCGUCACACUAUCAUUAACUGAAUCCAUAGGUUAAUGAGGCGAACCGGGGGAACUGAAACAUCUAAGUACCCCGAGGAAAAGAAAUCAACCGAGAUUCCCCCAGUAGCGGCGAGCGAACGGGGAGCAGCCCAGAGCCUGAAUCAGUGUGUGUGUUAGUGGAAGCGUCUGGAAAGGCGUGCGAUACAGGGUGACAGCCCCGUACACAAAAAUGCACAUACUGUGAGCUCGAUGAGUAGGGCGGGACACGUGGUAUCCUGUCUGAAUAUGGGGGGACCAUCCUCCAAGGCUAAAUACUCCUGACUGACCGAUAGUGAACCAGUACCGUGAGGGAAAGGCGAAAAGAACCCCGGCGAGGGGAGUGAAAAAGAACCUGAAACCGUGUACGUACAAGCAGUGGGAGCACGCUUAGGCGUGUGACUGCGUACCUUUUGUAUAAUGGGUCAGCGACUUAUAUUCUGUAGCAAGGUUAACCGAAUAGGGGAGCCGAAGGGAAACCGAGUCUUAACUGGGCGUUAAGUUGCAGGGUAUAGACCCGAAACCCGGUGAUCUAGCCAUGGGCAGGUUGAAGGUUGGGUAACACUAACUGGAGGACCGAACCGACUAAUGUUGAAAAAUUAGCGGAUGACUUGUGGCUGGGGGUGAAAGGCCAAUCAAACCGGGAGAUAGCUGGUUCUCCCCGAAAGCUAUUUAGGUAGCGCCUCGUGAAUUCAUCUCCGGGGGUAGAGCACUGUUUCGGCAAGGGGGUCAUCCCGACUUACCAACCCGAUGCAAACUGCGAAUACCGGAGAAUGUUAUCACGGGAGACACACGGCGGGUGCUAACGUCCGUCGUGAAGAGGGAAACAACCCAGACCGCCAGCUAAGGUCCCAAAGUCAUGGUUAAGUGGGAAACGAUGUGGGAAGGCCCAGACAGCCAGGAUGUUGGCUUAGAAGCAGCCAUCAUUUAAAGAAAGCGUAAUAGCUCACUGGUCGAGUCGGCCUGCGCGGAAGAUGUAACGGGGCUAAACCAUGCACCGAAGCUGCGGCAGCGACGCUUAUGCGUUGUUGGGUAGGGGAGCGUUCUGUAAGCCUGUGAAGGUGUGCUGUGAGGUAUGCUGGAGGUAUCAGAAGUGCGAAUGCUGACAUAAGUAACGAUAAAGCGGGUGAAAAGCCCGCUCGCCGGAAGACCAAGGGUUCCUGUCCAACGUUAAUCGGGGCAGGGUGAGUCGACCCCUAAGGCGAGGCCGAAAGGCGUAGUCGAUGGGAAACAGGUUAAUAUUCCUGUACUUGGUGUUACUGCGAAGGGGGGACGGAGAAGGCUAUGUUGGCCGGGCGACGGUUGUCCCGGUUUAAGCGUGUAGGCUGGUUUUCUAGGCAAAUCCGGAAAAUCAAGGCCGAGGCGUGAUGACGAGGCACUACGGUGCUGAAGCAACAAAUGCCCUGCUUCCAGGAAAAGCCUCUAAGCAUCAGGUAACAUCAAAUCGUACCCCAAACCGACACAGGUGGUCAGGUAGAGAAUACCAAGGCGCUUGAGAGAACUCGGGUGAAGGAACUAGGCAAAAUGGUGCCGUAACUUCGGGAGAAGGCACGCUGAUACGUAGGUGAAGCGACUUGCUCGUGGAGCUGAAAUCAGUCGAAGAUACCAGCUGGCUGCAACUGUUUAUUAAAAACACAGCACUGUGCAAACACGAAAGUGGACGUAUACGGUGUGACGCCUGCCCGGUGCCGGAAGGUUAAUUGAUGGGGUUAGCGCAAGCGAAGCUCUUGAUCGAAGCCCCGGUAAACGGCGGCCGUAACUAUAACGGUCCUAAGGUAGCGAAAUUCCUUGUCGGGUAAGUUCCGACCUGCACGAAUGGCGUAAUGAUGGCCAGGCUGUCUCCACCCGAGACUCAGUGAAAUUGAACUCGCUGUGAAGAUGCAGUGUACCCGCGGCAAGACGGAAAGACCCCGUGAACCUUUACUAUAGCUUGACACUGAACAUUGAGCCUUGAUGUGUAGGAUAGGUGGGAGGCUUUGAAGUGUGGACGCCAGUCUGCAUGGAGCCGACCUUGAAAUACCACCCUUUAAUGUUUGAUGUUCUAACGUGGACCCGUGAUCCGGGUUGCGGACAGUGUCUGGUGGGUAGUUUGACUGGGGCGGUCUCCUCCUAAAGAGUAACGGAGGAGCACGAAGGUUGGCUAAUCCUGGUCGGACAUCAGGAGGUUAGUGCAAUGGCAUAAGCCAGCUUGACUGCGAGCGUGACGGCGCGAGCAGGUGCGAAAGCAGGUCAUAGUGAUCCGGUGGUUCUGAAUGGAAGGGCCAUCGCUCAACGGAUAAAAGGUACUCCGGGGAUAACAGGCUGAUACCGCCCAAGAGUUCAUAUCGACGGCGGUGUUUGGCACCUCGAUGUCGGCUCAUCACAUCCUGGGGCUGAAGUAGGUCCCAAGGGUAUGGCUGUUCGCCAUUUAAAGUGGUACGCGAGCUGGGUUUAGAACGUCGUGAGACAGUUCGGUCCCUAUCUGCCGUGGGCGCUGGAGAACUGAGGGGGGCUGCUCCUAGUACGAGAGGACCGGAGUGGACGCAUCACUGGUGUUCGGGUUGUCAUGCCAAUGGCACUGCCCGGUAGCUAAAUGCGGAAGAGAUAAGUGCUGAAAGCAUCUAAGCACGAAACUUGCCCCGAGAUGAGUUCUCCCUGACCCUUUAAGGGUCCUGAAGGAACGUUGAAGACGACGACGUUGAUAGGCCGGGUGUGUAAGCGCAGCGAUGCGUUGAGCUAACCGGUACUAAUGAACCGUGAGGCUUAACCUU
rnacentral:rRNA from 1 species